ensembl:lincRNA
CGGUGCCCCUAAAGCGAGGACCUGGUGAGAUUGUCACCCUGACUUUCAGGUACCCAGGAGGACCAUGGAGGUGCCUGGGAGUGCUCAGCGCCUGCGGCGUGCCCUCGGAGGCGGCGGUUGGCACGGAGGCCGGGCUACAUGAGAAACACACCUGGGCCUGGGAUCGGGUUCCUCCCUGCAGUGGCCAACACACCAUUCUGUGUCCCGGGAGGGGUGAGUGGUGAGGCGUUCCAUCACUCUGCAUCCGGGGCUGGGCACAGUGCCCGUGACCUGAGUGGCCAAUGUCGAGGCCCCUCUUUGGGGAGUCCCGUUUCCAAGAGCUCACCAGCCGCUGCUGUGGUCUCUGUGGGCCACCUAAGUCAAGUGAGCAGAGCAGCUGAGAUCCCAGUGCACCUUGGGGUUCAGCUCAAAGCAGGCACCAGGCUUACGGACAGGCUGUACAGCUCUGGGGACACUGGGCUUCCACGAGAGUGUCUGUCUAUGGACAGUGGCGAGGCCCCAGUCCCUAGCCAGGAUGCAGCUUGCAAUGAAGGAGCAAGAGGCGCCCAGGCCACAAACUCUCCGGCACCAGCAGAAGCGAGUGGCAGUAGCUGCAGGCUCCAGAGCAGCCCCUUCACACCGCCAGCCUCUUCCGGUCUCCAUGAAGCCUUUGCCUCCAGCUUCAGCUUCAUUCAGCUCUCUCUCAGCUCUGUGGGGGAACGUGGAGAGGCGGAAGGCUGCCCGCCAUCCAGAGAGGAUGAGUCCUCUCAUCGAAGCUGUCCAGACAUGGGAGCUGUGGCUGCCAGCUCAGACAGGCCCCGGGAAGACCCUGGAUGUCUCUCAGGGUCCUUCAGUCGCACAGCUACCCAGGGCUCUGCAGACUUGGCCCAGGAGACAAGGAGCAGCUUCUGGCCAGAGUGGGACCUGCUUUCUUCCCUGGACCUUGACAUUGGCUCUUCCCAGGGGCCCGUGCUGCCUGGCCGUUGUGGUGACAAGGGCCGUGGCUCAGCAUAUGCUCAUGGUUGGGAUGCCCUGCUCAGGAGAUGGGAACCUGUGUUGCAUGACUGUCUGCAGAGCAGCUUGAGGCAGCUAGAGGCAACAUCCUUAAAAUUAAAGCUUCAGAAACUUCAGGAGAAAGCAAUUGAAGAUGAUGAUUAUGAUAAAGCUGAGAUGCUGAGACAGAGAUUGGAAGACCUGGAACAGGAGCAAGGCCACCUGUCUGUGGUGCUCCCAUCCCUGCAGCCGGCCCUCAGCAGCUUCCUGGGCCACCUGAUGUCACAGGCCCAGGCCACCCUGCACCGAGCUACUCAGCCGGCUGGCAGUGACUGUGCCCUAGCCCCACUUGGAAGCGAGUCACAGACCCUGGAACUCACAGCCCAGGACAGCCUGCGUGAGGCCCUUGCAAGGCGAGACUGGCUUCUCCAGGAGAAGCGGCAGCUGCAGGAAGAAGUGGAAGCUCUCCAGAAAAGGAUGUCUGCGCUGGAGGCCAAAGAUCAACAGCUGAGAAGGGAGAUAGAGGAGCAGGAGAGAGAACUCCAGUGGCAGCGCUGUGGCCUGGGGUCACUGGUGGUCCAGCUACCCCUGGACCAGCUGAAGGAAGUCAGUGAGACCCUGAGGGACACGCUGGCCUCUGCCAGCCAGAUUCUCCCCCACAUGGAGCCGCCUGAAGCCGUCAGGAGCCUCCGGGAAAGAAUAAAAGCUCUGAACUUGUCACUUAAAGAAGUCACCACCAAAGUGUGCAUGGGCGAGAGACUCUGCAGCACCCUGAGGAAGAGACUCAGUGACCUUGAGACCCAACUACUGGCAUUGCUUGAAGCCAAAAUGCUUGCCAUAUCAGGAAGCCAUUUCGGCACAGCCAAGGACCUCACAGAAGAGAUUCGCACCUUGACCUCAGAGCGAGAAGGGCUGGAGCCCAUUCUGGAAAGGCUGUGGGCACUCAGGUCUUCGACUGCAGGAGAGCUGGCCAGCAUGGUGGAAGACCACAGCCGGCUGACACAGGAACUGCAGCGCCAGGAGGCUGAGCACAAAGCAAAUGUGAAGGGAAAUACUGUGAAGUACAUGGAAAUGCUUGAGGACAAACUGCUCAGCUGCAAGUGUCCGCUGCUUGGAAGAGUGUGGGAAGCUGACUUGGAGGCCUGUCAGCUACUGAUCCAGAGCCUGACUGUUGAAGAUGAGCAGCCAGUGGAUGACACAGGGGCAGCUGCCUGGAAAGCCACCCUUGCUGGCCCUCCCAGACUCUCCUCUGAAGACGGAAGGAAGAGCCCUCUGCAGGCAUUCCACGGGUGGAGGGCUCCCCUGACCUCCUGUGCACCCUGCACUGGAGGUGAAUGGAAGCAGACCAUCUUAAAGGAAAAAGAAAACCAUAAAGCACUCCUGG